GUGAGUGACCCUGCGGGGACUAGAUGUCAGUUGGUCUGAGUCAAAAGCUCAUGCUUUUUCCUACUUUGUCACCUCCCAAAAUAGCAUUUGGAAGGGAAAACAGAACAGGGCGUCAUUGUUUGUUGUUUCUGACCGUUUGUGGUUCGUGGUGGAGACAGAAUCUUGGGGCAAGACGUGAGAGGCAAUUUCAGGUGGGCCUGGAACUUGAAGGGCUGCAGUCUCAAAACCAAAGAUUGGGUCACAUGGUUCAAUAGAGCGUUUUUGUGCUGUCUCCGGGUGGGAGACAGCAUUCAGUGCCAAAGCCUUGACAUUUCCAGAACCUUCUGAGGGUUGCUGGAGACCACGAAAUGGCAAGAUAGAAUUAGUGGCCCACUUGGACUGCCUCUAGAAAGGGUGAGAGCCUAGAGGUCAGCGGCACUGGCGGACCAGGCCUUGGGAGUUAGAGUCUCAGGAGGCUGCCAAGGUUGACACAGAGUGGCUGGUCAUCUGGCCGCCUGCCACACAGCUUCCAAGUCCAGUAAGGCCUUGAGCCCGAAUCUGCCUUGAGCCCAGGAGCAUUUUCUGUGAACUGCUUCUGCACCACCCGAUUCCUUUGCACAUGAAAGCUUAACCAAGGUCUCGCUGCACACCCAUGACGGGGCAGGAAUUAAAAAGGCAGAUAAUAACAAGUGUUGGCGAGGACGUGGAGAAGUUGGAACCCUGGUGCACAGCUGCUGGGAAUGCACGUGGUGCAGCUGCCAUGGAAAACAGCCUGGCAGCUCCUCAGAUGAUGAACUUAGAGUUGCCCGAGGACCCAGUUACUGCACUGGAAGCCUCACCCUGGCUCUGAAGGCCUCCCAGCUGAUCCACGCGGGCCCACCCAGGUCAUCUAGAACAGUCUUCCUUACUGAGAGGGCAAAAUCCCCUCCCAGCAGCCCCAGAGGCCAGUAUGAUGGAGCAACCCACCCCGUGCUGGCCCAGCCCACCAGGCUUCCCUUCCAGCCUCCCACCCGGCCUCCUCCUUGUCUCUCCUGCCGGCUCCUCUGAGUGCGGCUGCAGCCCGGCCUCGGGCCCUUCCACUUUGCCCACCUCACCCCCUUAGGGCUUGGGGGGCCUGGGUCAGGUGCCUGAGGCCAGCCUGCAUCAGAAGCUGGCUCCGCCUCUUUACUGUAUGUGGCCCUGGGCCUCAGUUUCUUCCUCUAUACAAUGGGGACAAUAACAUACCAGCCUCCUGGGAACUGGCUGGGUUACAGGAGAGCAAGUCUUUGGAGCUGGGCCGGCAGGCAUGGGGGCCCAAAGAGGGUCCUCAGCUUUGGAUCUGGACGCCUCUUCUGGAGAUCUCACUUCCGGAGCACCCGCCAUCUCUGCGUGGACAUCCCAUUGGGCCACUUCCCUCAGGGGGCCCCAAGCUGCAGCCUCCUCCUCCCCCCACAGCCCUGCCUGCCCUCCCUGACCCAGACGCCCCGUGCUCAAGCUUCCUCUGCCUGGACGCUGUUGACAUUGGGGAUGUCCCGUGCAUGGCAGGAUGCUGAGCUACGCCUUUGGCCUUUCCUGCUAG
rnacentral:lncRNA from 10 species